AUGCCCUCCAAUGAAUGGACAAUGCAAGCGAUGGCCCCGUGACGUGGCCUGGUGGCCAGCAGCUGUUGGGAAACACCACCACGAGGAUCAUUCCCUAUGAGACGAAGAGACAUGCUACCAUACAACAGGGGGAAACCGGGGGCGAAGGGAGCCCGCUCCGAGCACAGACGGAAGUGAAGAGGACGGCUUCGUGGGGAAGGGGGUAUUUCCACCGUCUCUGCAGGAGGGGCUGGCUGGCGCACUGACAGGUGCUCUGCAAACCCUUGCUGAGCUUUUACUGUGUGGUUCGUAACAAAGACGGACAUAAAUCCUGCUCCUUGCCUUUAUGCCUUCCACCCCACGAUCGCACACCCCCCAAAAUGAAUUCUACAUUUACGAUCCUAUCAGAGGCCACCAAUGGUUCACGUCCCAAGGUCAACAAUAGAAGGAGGAAGAGGCAGUAAAACUUAACGGGGCCCCAAUAUACUCACUUUCUGGGUGGUCACAGGUAUGUUGCUUAAACUGGAUAUCAGUUUUUAAUGGGCAUCCUAAGCCCUCAAAAUCUGGGGUUCGAGUUCAUGUCAGAACCUAAACACGACCACAGAGGAACUCACGGUGGUAUCUGAAAACACUCUCCCCAACCAGAAAGUUCUAUGUAAGUUUUCAACUCCUCCUCGUACAGGGUACAUGUCAUAAGAGCUACGUACUUUUUUUCCCUUUUGUAAAUGAUUCUUAAAUGCAUAAGCAAUAAAACAUUUUUAAAACACAAUUUAAAGAGUACACUUGGCAGACUAGAACGCCUUAAAAAAGCCUAUUUACUUUCUCCCCUAAACGUUCAAAUUGUUAAAAGGAAAACUGUAUUUUAUCAACACUUUAACAUACCAUUAAAAUCUCUCCUAUUUGACAGAUGAAGAUAAAAACACCCCAAAACUACGGAUGAAUUAUCAGGUCCCUAAUGAUUCCAAAACAAUUACAGGAUGCAGAGCAAUCUAGUUAAAUUUUAUUCAAAAGCUUACUACACUUGUGUUUUCUUUUAUUUUUCUAUCAAGAAACCCAUGAGGCUUAAGCACAAUUCAUUAUGUAUGAGACCCCACUUGCGGUGCUUGACUGUUGAUUAAUAGCAAAGUUUGCUGUAUGUACAUUUGCAACAUUAGAUGCAUACAAUAUGCUAACUUAUUCUUUCACUGAAACUAAUUAUUUACAAAAAUGACUACUUGAGACUACAAUUUAUUAAAUGCAUGCAUCCAGUCUCAAUUUGGCCCCAAAAGACAGCCUGGAAUGAAGAUCUUUUACUUGAUGUGACAACUUCUGGAAACGCUGUUAUUAAUAUUGUAAAUGUGGCAAAUAAAGAGUUCAAAUAGC